rnacentral:lncRNA from 1 species
AUGAUUACAAGGUCCUUACAGGGAAAGACACACAAUGUUACCCUUACGCUUCUUUUCCAUUUCUGUUACCUCACUGACACUUUAUCAACAAAUACCUUAUCGAAGUUUUGGAAGGUAUCCCUCCAAAAAUUCAAAGAUUGCACAAAGAAUUGCAAAGAUCAAAGCAGCACCUUAGACUACGAGAAGGGAGCAGUAAGCGGCUGCUCCAUAAUAGAGGCUGUGGUCCAGAGGACGCCGCAAACGCUGCCCGGAGACCCUGGAGCAGCCCGGCUUGCCAAGGAAAGCGUCAGCGGCUUGGAGACUGGACACAGAGCAGGUGUCCUUCUUCCCCCGACAGGCGCCUGCCCGGACCGGGGUGCAGGACGCGGACGGCGGGCCGGGAGCGGACGCGCCCCCCGCUCAGGACCGCGACCCCCAAGGCGGGUGCGCGCCGUCGGGAGGGGCCCGGGAGGGGGGCGGCAGCGAGGCCGAGCGCCCGCGCCGGCGCUGCAGGGCGGCUGUCCCCGCGGCGGGCGCUUACCUGUGCGGCCGGGCCGGGGCCGGGGCCGGGCGGCGGGCUGGGGCGCGGGGCGGGCGGAGGCGGCGCCCUGCACGCUGGCGGCUCUCGGGGCGCCGGGCGGCAGACUGCCGCUUCUCCUUUUCCCUUUCUGUUUUACCGCCGCGCCGCGGGGAUUUCCACCGGGACUUUCCAGGCACGUGACGCCGCCGGCCAGCUCCGCCCGGCCCACGGCCGCCAGGGGGCGCAGCGUGCGGAGGAGCAGCGCGCCGGGCCGAGCCGGGGGAGCCCGGGGGCCGCGAGAGCGCCGCCGGCCCCGCCUCCGCCCGGCCCCGCCCCUCCACCCCGGCCCCGCCUCCGCCCUGCCUGGCCCCGCCCCUCAGCCAGGCCCCGCCUCCGCCCUGCCUGGCCACGCCCCUCCGCCCCGCCCCCGCCGGGGUGUCCCAGUGAGUCACCCGGCAUUUCGGAAGCCCGGGCCCACGUCACAUCCAUGUGGAAAUCGCGGUGAUGGGAACUGGAAAUGA